rnacentral:rRNA from 1 species
GCGAACGCUGGCGGCAGGCCUAACACCUGCAAGUCGAACGAACUCUUCGGAGUUAGUGGCGGACGGGUGAGUAACACGUGGGAACGUGCCUUUAGGUUCGGAAUAACUCAGGGAAACUUGUGCUAAUACCGAAUGUGCCCUUCGGGGGAAAGAUUUAUCGCCUUUAGAGCGGCCCGCGUCUGAUUAGCUAGUUGGUGAGGUAAAGGCUCACCAAGGCGACGAUCAGUAGCUGGUCUGAGAGGAUGAUCAGCCACAUUGGGACUGAGACACGGCCCAAACUCCUACGGGAGGCAGCAGUGGGGAAUCUUGCGCAAUGGGCGAAAGCCUGACGCAGCCAUGCCGCGUGAAUGAUGAAGGUCUUAGGAUUGUAAAAUUCUUUCACCGGGGACGAUAAUGGCGGUACCCGGAGAAGAAGCCCCGGCUAACUUCGUG